UACGAAGGGGGCUAGCGUUGCUCGGAAUCACUGGGCGUAAAGCGCACGUAGGCGGAUUGCUAAGUCAGGGGUGAAAUCCUGGAGCUCAACUCCAGAACUGCCUUUGAUACUGGCGACCUUGAGUCCGGGAGAGGUGAGUGGAACUGCGAGUGUAGAGGUGAAAUUCGUAGAUAUCGGGAGGAACACCAGUGGCGAAGGCGGCGAUCUGGGAAGAUACUGACGCUGAGACGCGAAAGCGUGGGGAGCGAACAGG
rnacentral:rRNA from 1 species